rnacentral:rRNA from 1 species
UGGUCAAGUUAUUAAGGGUGCAGGGCGGAUGCCUUGGCACUAGGAGCCGAUGAAGGACGUGAUAAGCUGCGAUAAGCUUCGGGGAGUUGCACGUAAACUUUGAUCCGAAGAUUUCCGAAUGAGGAAACUCACUUAGAGUAAUGUCUAAGUAUCAUUAAGUGAAUACAUAGCUUAAUGAGGGGAACUCAGGGAACUGAAACAUCUAAGUACCUGAAGGAAGAGAAAGAAAUUCGAUUCCGUAAGUAGCGGCGAGCGAACGCGGAUUAGCCCAAACCAAUAAAGUUUUCUUUAUUGGGGUUGCGGACAUAUCAUAACGNNNNNNNNNNNNNNNNNNNNNNNNNNNNNNNNNNNNNNNNNUAUGAUCCAGAGUACCACGGGACACGUGAAACCCUGUGGGAAGCAGGAGGGACCACCCUCCAAGGCUAAAUACUACCUAGUGACCGAUAGCGUAUAGUACCGUGAGGGAAAGGUGAAAAGAACCCCGGGAGGGGAGUGAAAUAGAACCUGAAACCCUGCACUUACAAGCUGUGGAAGCACAUUUCUUGUGUGACCGCGUACUUUUUGUAGAACGGGCCAACGAGUUACGUUAAGUAGCAAGGUUAAGCACUUAAGGUGUGGAGCCGUAGCGAAAGCGAGUUUUAACUGAGCGUUCAGUUACUUGACGUAGACCCGAAACCGGGCGACCUACCCAUGAGCAGGAUGAAGCGAAAGUAAAAUUUCGUGGAGGUCCGAACCCACGAGCGUUGAAAAGCUCGGGGAUGACUUGUGGGUAGCGGUGAAAUUCCAAUCGAGCCCGGAGAUAGCUGGUUCUCCCCGAAAUAGCUUUAGGGCUAGCCUCAAGGUGAGAGAUACGGAGGUAGAGCACUGAAUGUCCUAGGGGGUAUUGCACCUACCGAAGACUAUCAAACUCCGAAUGCCGUCAUCUUAUACUUGGGAGUCAGACUGUGGGUGAUAAGAUUCAUAGUCGAAAGGGCAACAGCCCAGAUCGUCAGCUAAGGUCCCUAAAUGUAAGUUAAGUGGUAAAGGAUGUGGGAUUGCACAGACAACCAGGAUGUUGGCUUAGAAGCAGCCACUCAUUCAAAGAGUGCGUAAUAGCUCACUGGUCGAGUGAUCCUGCGCCGAAGAUUUCCGGGGCUAAAACUUACUACCGAAGCUACGGCAUCAGUAAUGAUGGGUAGGGGAGCUUCCCAUACGGGUUGAAGCAUGACCGUAAGGACAUGUGGACAGUAUGGGAGUGAGAAUGUUGGCAUGAGUAGCGAGAUGUGGGUGAGAAUCCCACAGGCCGUAAACCCAAGGUUUCCAGGGGAAGGUUCGUCCGCCCUGGGUUAGUCGGGACCUAAGCUGAGGCCGAAAGGCGUAGGUGAUGGACAACAGGUUGAUAUUCCUGUACUACCGAUAACCGUUUGAGAGAAGGGAUGACACAGUAGGAUAAGCUAAGCACACUGUUGGUUAUGUGUGCCCAAGCAUUGAGGCAGUCAAAGUAGGCAAAUCCGCUUUGAUAAUGCUGGGAUGUGAUGGGGAGCGAAAUUUAGUAGCGAAGUAGCUGAUUUCACACUGUCAAGAAAAGUCUCUAUCGAGGUUAAAGGUACCCGUACCGCAAACCGACACAGGUGGGUGAGGAGAGUAUCCUAAGGCCAGCGAGAGAACUGUUGUUAAGGAACUCGGCAAAAUGACCCCGUAACUUAGGGAUAAGGGGUGCCACCAUCAGGUGGCCGCAGAGAAUAGGCCCAAGCGACUGUUUACCAAAAACAUAGGUUUCUGCUAAGUCGCAAGACGAUGUAUAGGAGCUGACGCCUGCCCGGUGCUGGAAGGUUAAGGGGAUCUGUUAGAGCAAUCGAAGCAGUGAACUUAAGCCCCAGUAAACGGCGGCCGUAACUAUAACGGUCCUAAGGUAGCGAAAUUCCUUGUCGGGUAAGUUCCGACCCGCACGAAAGGCGUAACGAUUUGGGCACUGUCUCAACAACAGACUCGGUGAAAUUGUAAUUCCGGUGAAGAUGCCGGAUACCUGCGACAGGACGGAAAGACCCCAUGGAGCUUUACUGUAGCUUGACAUUGGGUCUUGGUACUACAUGUACAGGAUAGGUGGGAGGCUUUGAAACCAGGACGCCAGUUUUGGCGGAGCCAUCCUUGGGAUACCACCCUUGUAGUACUGGGACUCUAACCAUAGGCCAUGAAUCUGGUCUUGGGACACUGUCAGGUGGGCAGUUUGACUGGGGCGGUCGCCUCCCAAAAGGUAACGGAGGCGCUCAAAGGUUCUCUCAGUACGGUCGGAAAUCGUACGUAGAGUGUAAAGGCAAAAGAGAGCUUGAUUGCAAGACAUACAGGUCGAGCAAGGAUGAAAAUCGGACUUAGUGAUCCGGUGGUUCUGCGUGGAAGGGCCAUCGCUCAACGGAUAAAAGCUACCCUGGGGAUAACAGGCUUAUCUCCCCCAAGAGUCCACAUCGACGGGGAGGUUUGGCACCUCGAUGUCGGCUCAUCACAUCCUGGGGCUGUAGUAGGUCCCAAGGGUUGGGCUGUUCGCCCAUUAAAGUGGUACGCGAGCUGGGUUCAGAACGUCGUGAGACAGUUCGGUCCCUAUCCGUCGCAGGCGUAGGAAAUUUGAGAAGACCUGUCCUUAGUACGAGAGGACCGGGAUGGACGUACCUCUGGUGUACCAGUUGUCCUGCCAAGGGCAUGGCUGGGUAGCUAUGUACGGAAUGGAUAAGCGCUGAAAGCAUCUAAGCGCGAAGCCAACUUCAAGAUAAGAUUUCCCACCGCAAGGGUAAGACCCCAGAAAGACUAUCUGGUUGAUAGGUCGAAGGUGUAAGUGCAGCAAUGUAUUUAGCUUAUCGAUACUAAUAGGUCGAGGACUUGACCAAU